GCCCCAGUAGCCCAAUCGGCAGAGGCGGCGGACUUAAAAUCCGCGCAGUGCGGGUUCGAGUCCCGCCUGGGGCACCA
rnacentral:tRNA from 1 species